rnacentral:rRNA from 1 species
UACGUAGGAAGCAAGCGUUGUCCGGAAUCACUGGGCGUAAAGCGCACGUAGGCGGAUUGGUCAGUUAGGGGUGAAAUCCUGGAGCUCAACUCCAGAACUGCCUUUAAUACUGCCAGUCUCGAGUCCGGAAGAGGUAAGUGGAACUCCUAGUGUAGAGGUGGAAUUCGUAGAUAUUAGGAAGAACACCAGUGGCGAAGGCGGCUUACUGGUCCGGUACUGACGGCUGAGGUGCGAAAGCGUGGGGAGCAACAGG